rnacentral:ncRNA from 1 species
GUGUUGUAUGAAAGGAGAGAAGGUUACCAUUCCCCUUGACAAGGAUGGAAGAGAACUUUGGGUCUAACAACACGCAUACGGUUAAGGCAUUGCCACUUACUUCGUGGCAUCUAACCACUGUUGUUG